AUACUUACCUGGCGUAGAGGUUACCGUGAUCACGAAGGCGGUUCCUCCAGGGCGAGGCUCUUCCAUUGCACUACGGCUUGAGCUGACCCUUGCGAAUAUCCCUAAUGUGGAUAUCUCGGACGUAAAAUUUUUGGUAGUCGGGACUGCGUUCGCGCUCUCCCGG
rnacentral:snRNA from 1 species